AGACAAUUCUAGAGCCAAGUUGCCAAACAGCAAAGCGCCCCUCCAUCCGUAGCCAGAGGCCUCUCAAUCAGACAUGCAAGGGGGGCAAUUCCCCGAAUCGUCGUAUAGCGUAGCGGAGAAGUUCGCAGACGAGACGGUGAAGCUGCAACGUAUACACAGGCAGAGGGCGCACAGUCGUGGAAACCUGGAGGUAACUACACAGAUGGACAUUAAAUUACUAGUACUUUUCAUGAGUGCUAAUCAUUGUGAAAAAGUUGUUUGGUCACGGAUAUACUACAAUCUUUGAGAUGCAUGUUUGAGUACCACCGCAAGUAUUCCAGAUCAUAAAAAAUCAUGUAGGUCAUGCAUGGGUUGUUCGAUCCUUCAUCAUAUAAAGUUUGCAAAUCACGUAGCAUUUUACUCUCUUUAGUCCACCUAGCAGCUCUAGUGUCUAUGUAUGUUGGCUUUCUUGCCAAGGUGGAAUCGAAUAUAUGAAUACAACUUUUUAGCUUCCACAUAAA